AAACUGUAAAUGUGGAUUAACUCUUCAACACACCGGGGGCUGCCAAGGGCCGGCUCCUGUCCGCGAGGUGUUGAGCAGCGUGGAGGACCGGCCGGGCGAGGUGGUGGCCGGGCGAUGUGGCGGCCGAGCGAGGUGGCGGCCGGGCAAGGCGCGAGAGUCAGCGGUGACCUCUGUGAAGGAAGUGGGAGCCCGCCUCCUCCAUCAUCAUCCUCCUCCUCCACUCCCCUGCAGUGAG